UGCUUCUUCCCCCCAUCAAGUGUAGAGAAAGCCUUCCUUCUCUGGUCCGUCUGUUUUAUAUACGCCCCUAUCCAUCUUCCGUUGGAGCUCAGAGCACAUGGGGAGAGGUGGGGGUUCUUGGCUCCGGGCUCGCGUUAUUGCAGAGCAUGGAGAUGCUUUGUUGAUGGCCAUCUAAUCCCUUCAUCUCGUCGAUCUUGUGACUAAUGAAGGGCUGGGGGUCGGGAUUAGAUGACCAUCAACGGACACUUCCAUGAGGCACUUCCCUCUGCACCGUUCAUUCAGCUUCCCUUCAGCACCCGACAAGCUUCUCUCGGGGAUCUGGGAUCAAAUGAAUGGCACCACAGAGAGCCCUGUCAUUGGACAAGAGACGUGGGAUAAGGUAAACAGGAGCUCAUGCCUCUGCAAGUUGAAAAAGUCCGUGCUUGAGUAUUAUUCCAGUGAGGAUAUGUCUUCUCAUGGAAUCCAUCAUCAUUUCCAGGAGUUAAGCUCGCGUCCACUCUUGAGAAUCCAACUCUUACUUUUGAACUAUUUGAGGGCAUGUGUUUACGUCCUAGGAUGUGAAAAUGUUUCAUUCAAGUUUGGGAAUUUCUGAUCCAUUAAUGUUGUAACAUGACAGUGAUUAAACGUUCUCCGCCUUCAAAUGA